AGCUAUGAAACCAAGAGUAAUUGUGGAACAGCUGUAUCCUCACGAACACAUAUGGGACAAUAGUCUUCUCAAAUUACAAACUAUACUCUCCUCACCAUCCCUUGAUUGCAGCACUCAAUACAAAGAAAUGCUCAAUAUUGUGGCCGCAGAGCUGGAGUCAGAUAUACAAAACUUUACCUCAGAGGAUAUUUUGUCUGUCAAAUCUCCCAAUCAUCAUUCUAAAAACCUUAAUGUGGCUUAUAAUUAUGAAGAGAAAGAAAUUCGUAUUCAAAGUCGAAAUUGCAAGACCACAGAUUAUGUAAAUUCCUCUGUUAGAUGUCAAAAUAGCAAGCGCGAGCGCAGCCAGCAACAGUCUUUAUUUUCUUCAAGUUUACUAGAUCCUUUUGACGACUUUGUUAGUUUAAAUGAUACCCAGCAGCUGCUCAAGAACUGCAACGUCUUUCAUAACUACCCCAGGAAAGCUAAGGCUGGAAUGACAUCACCAUCACUUUCCCUGCAACCAGUUGGCAGACCAGUUAUGGGAUGUGGACAUGGACAUCCUCAUUAUAAUUGUAGAUGUCCCCAUCAUUUCAACUCACGGAACUUGCAACCCAGUAAAUCCUGAGUACAGCUGGUUUCAUAGGACUUGUCUAAUCAGAUUUAUUUUGACAAAUUUUCAGUCACUGAAGAUCUUUCUUGAGAUCAUCCUCUGCUCUGAAGAAUGAUAUUUUUGAUAUUAUUCAUUUUGUUGCUGUAUGUGACUUUUAUGGAUAGUAUUUCGAGUAUUUAAACCUUUGUAAGCUCAAAAAAAUUUAGUUGUUUGAGUUGCUCUAUGCAGCACACUACACAUGUUGAACAUUUUAUGUAUGUACUAACUAAGUAAUACCACUUAAUUUUGUUAUAGAUUUUUCCUUAUUAUACAUGAUUAGUACACGUAAUAUAUGCUGUAUACUGUAUUAUAUAUAUGGGUAUUGUUUCCUAUGAUUUGAAUAUUUAACUUUGUUUGUUUAUAAAAUAUAUAAAAAUAUAUUAUCAAUACUGUAAUAUAUUGUCUGCUUAUAGGCUAUGUUGACAGAGGCACUAGUACCCAUGGACUGAUCUAAUUGAAGUAAUUAUGUGCAACUUUAUUUUCUGACGAAAUUAGUUUAGAAGUUUGAUAAUGAUGAACAAUUUAAAGCUUAAAUUUAAUUUCAACAAUUCACAAUACAUUUUGGGAAUAUUUUAAGUGGCAAUAAUAUUAUCAGAUUACUUAUAUCGCGUAAGAAUUGGUUUUUUGUUCGUUAAAAGUAGCUCCUGAUCAUGCUAUCCCAUGUUUUUCUUCAACCUUAAGCAGUAAAAUUUUUACUGAGUAAAAGUUAAAACUCUGUUUUUCAAUAUUAUCUGACAAUUAAUAUUGUUUCGUAUCUGACAAUUAUAAUCCAUUGACCACGAUUGUAAAAGUCUACCAUCGAUUUGGAGUACAAUGUACAUGGAAAGAAUCUUUUUUAAUAUUUAUGUUACACCUUGCAUCAGUAACAGUUUAAAUUUCUGACGCUCACAUAACAGAUGAAUUAUUUUCGACUAUUUGAAGCGAGUGUUAUUGUUAUUGGUUAUUUUUGAGCCUGAUAUUGCACUAUUUGCUAUCACAAUUAUAAUACAUUUUCAAAGUCUA